GAUGAACGCUGGCGGCGUGCCUAAUACAUGCCAGUCGAGCGAACAGACCAGUAUCUUGCUCCUCUGACGUUGCCGACGGGCGGGUGACUAACACGUGGAUAACCUUCCUCUAUGACUUGGCUAACUUCGGGUAGCCCUAGCUAAUACCGGAUAAUAUUUUUGCCCGCAUGGUUCUGUAGUGUUAGGCGGGUUUGCUGUCGCUUAUCGAUGUAUCCGCGCCGCAUUGGCGAGUUGGUAAGGUAACGGCUUACCAGGGCAACGAUGCGUAGCCGACGUGAGAGGGGGAUGGGCCACAGUGGAGCUGACCCACGGCACAGACACCUACGGGCGGCAGCAGUAGGGAAUGUUCGGAACUGGGGGGAAGCCUGACGGAGGAACGGCGCGUGAGUGAUGAAGGUCUUUGGACCGUAUGACUCUGUUAGUAUUGAAGACCAAAUGUGCAAGUAACGAUGCACGUUUUGACGGUACUUAAUCAGAAAGCAACGGCUAACUACGUG
rnacentral:rRNA from 1 species